CAGGUCAGGCGGGAUUACCCGCUGAU
rnacentral:rRNA from 1 species